AAGUCGUAACAAGGUUUCCGUAGGUGAACCUGCGGAAGGAUCAUUACCAAAUCCAAAUUUCAACCCCAUGUGAACUAUUGUUUUAGUCUGUCUUUGGGAGAAAUUUCCUUCUUUCUCUUGUUUAUUCAUUAGACUGUAAUAGUUUCUCCCAAUAGAGUCCGGCAUGACUGUAUGGUUGUGUCCAGAUUCGAAAAACACCCCCUUUUUAAAACCACUUGAUUUUUUUCGUUGGAAUUAACUUUUAUUUAAUUUAAUAAAGGACAACUUUUAACGGCGGAUCUCUUGGCUCGUG
rnacentral:misc_RNA from 1 species